rnacentral:rRNA from 1 species
UACGUAGGUGGCAAGCGUUGUCCGGAUUUACUGGGCGUAAAGGGCGUGCAGGCGGUCUGUUAAGUUCAGGGUGAAAGCUCCCGGCUCAACUGGGAGAGGUCCUUGGAUACUGGCAGACUUGAGGGAGGUAGAGGAGAGUGGAAUUCCCGGUGUAGUGGUGAUAUGCGUAGAUAUCGGGAGGAACACCUGUGGCGAAAGCGGCUCACUGGACCACAACUGACGCUGAGGCGCGAAAGCUAGGGGAGCAAACAGG